UACGGAGGGGGCUAGCGUUGUUCGGAAUUACUGGGCGUAAAGCGCGCGUAGGCGGACCUGCAAGUCGGGGGUGAAAGUCAAAGGCUCAACCUUUGAAAGCCGGUGGAUACUGUGAGGCUAGAGUACGGAAGAGGCGAGUGGAAUUCCUGGUGUAGCGGUGGAAUGCGCAGAUAUCAGGAGGAACACCAAUAGCGAAGGCAGCUCGCUGGGACGGUACUGACGCUAAGGCGCGAAAGCGUGGGGAGCAAACAGG
rnacentral:rRNA from 1 species